AACUCUAUCCUUUGAGAAUCAUCGAUCAUCAAGAUGAUGCCCAAUGAGUCUCACAAUCCACCAGUGACACCUAGCAGUAUGUAGUGAUAAUCCAGUAGAAUGAAAGUAUGAACCCCUAGGUAUAGUUAUCAUAUGAUUCAAUCUUUUUAUCAUGAGUCCCGACUUGAUGAAGGUUAUGGAGAGCUCGUCAGACCUCAUCAUCAAUCAUAC
rnacentral:lncRNA from 1 species